GACGAACGCUGGCGGCGUGCUUAACACAUGCAAGUCGAACGAAGAGCGAUGGAAGCUUGCUUCUAUCAAUCUUAGUGGCGAACGGGUGAGUAACGCGUAAUCAACCUGCCCUUCAGAGGGGGACAACAGUUGGAAACGACUGCUAAUACCGCAUACGAUCUAAUCUCGGCAUCGAGGAUAGAUGAAAGGUGGCCUCUACAUGUAAGCUAUCACUGAAGGAGGGGAUUGCGUCUGAUUAGCUAGUUGGAGGGGUAACGGCCCACCAAGGCGAUGAUCAGUAGCCGGUCUGAGAGGAUGAGCGGCCACAUUGGGACUGAGACACGGCCCAGACUCCUACGGGAGGCAGCAGUGGGGAAUCUUCCGCAAUGGACGAAAGUCUGACGGAGCAACGCCGCGUGAGUGAUGACGGCCUUCGGGUUGUAAAGCUCUGUUAAUCGGGACGAAAGGCCUUCUUGCGAAUAGGGAGAAGGAUUGACGGUACCGGAAUAGAAAGCCACGGCUAACUACGUG
rnacentral:rRNA from 1 species